rnacentral:rRNA from 1 species
UUCGGUUAGUACUGCUACGGCCUACCUUUCUGCCGGGGACGAGCUCCUGGGCUUUAUUGUCCGGGACUCGGAAUCGGCGAGGUUACUUUGAGUAAAUUAGAGUGUUCAAAGCAAGCCUACGCUCUGAAUACAUUAGCAUGGAAUAACACGAUAGGACUCUGGCUUAUCUUGUUGGUCUGUAAGACCGGAGUAAUGAUUAAGAGGGACAGUCGGGGGCAUUCGUAUUUCAUUGUCAGAGGUGAAAUUCUUGGAUUUAUGAAAGACGAACUUCUGCGAAAGCAUUUGCCAAGGAUGUUUUCAUUAAUCAAGAACGAAAGUUGGGGGCUCGAAGACGAUUAGAUACCGUCGUAGUCUCAACCAUAAACGAUGCCGACUA